UGAUUGUUCAGUGAGCCGCUCUCAGCUCUCCGGCAGCUCGAGCUUUGCAGCCAGUCAGCCCCUGGAGCUAUCUGCGCAGAACUGAGUAACCUCGGUCUCUGCUGCCAAAAGGUUUCUCAGCUCCGUGCUGCUCUUGAAUGACACUCUGUCAUUAUGCUAUACUUAGGCCAUCAAAGUUGUAAUUAGCUUUGUUCUGCUGCAAACUGAUCCCGCCUCACAGGCAAUAUAAAAGGUAAUAAAGUGAGUAGGCAGAUAUAUAAACCUGGAUGAGCCUCAUACGCAGGAAAAUACCAUGAUUCCCAAGAACCAAAGAAAGGGACCAAAGAGAAGGGGCUGCCAUGACUGCGAAAGUUGAAAAAAGACUGUCAGGAGAGGCCACCUGGAAAGCUCCACCCUGGUAUUAUCUGAGAUCUGAGCCACGUUUUCAAUGUCACACAGUUGUGUGUUUGCCGGAGUGGAUGCUGUAUACGGGAAAGGCACUGACAGGAAGGAAUGGAUCAGGAGAUGGUGUUGUGUCUAGUAUUUUGUGUGUUAUGGGAGAGCAAGUGGAUGGAGAAGUACCCCUUACCUGACUUAAAAGAGAGCCCUGAAGGUGAGAAGAAAAAACGGUGUCAUGCAGAGAAGAAGAAAUGACAAGUUGGAGAAGAAAUAUUCUCUGUCCUCUUCCAGUACUGGGUUUUAUGUAGUGACAAGAGCUAUAAGGACAGGCACAACUAAAAUUAAAUAAAAAAAGGACUCAAAAAAUAAAAAAAGGAAAU
rnacentral:lncRNA from 1 species